GAAGGGGGUUAGAACACAAAGAACUGCUAAUUC
rnacentral:tRNA from 2 species